GACGAACGCUGGCGGCGUGCCUAAUACAUGCAAGUGGGACGCAAGGGAACACACUGUGCUUGCACACCGUGUUUUCUUGAGUCGCGAACGGGUGAGUAACGCGUAGGUAACCUGCCUAUUAGCGGGGGAUAACUAUUGGAAACGAUAGCUAAUACCGCAUAAUAUUAAUUAUUGCAUGAUAAUUGAUUGAAAGAUGCAAGCGCAUCACUAGUAGAUGGACCUGCGUUGUAUUAGCUAGUUGGUAAGGUAAGAGCUUACCAAGGCGACGAUACAUAGCCGACCUGAGAGGGUGAUCGGCCACACUGGGACUGAGACACGGCCCAGACUCCUACGGGAGGCAGCAGUAGGGAAUCUUCGGCAAUGGACGAAAGUCUGACCAAGCAACGCCGCGUGAGUGAAGAAGGUUUUCGGAUCGUAAAGCUCUGUUGUAAGUCAAGAACGUGUGUGAGAGUGGAAAG
rnacentral:rRNA from 1 species